ACUCCGAAGCGUCCCUCAGUGGAGCACCAAGGCAGGACUGGCUUCUCAGGGCACUUGGCAGCGGGACACUCCAGACGAGACCUACCCCUGCCUGGGUCUGGGGACCAUGGGAAGGGCUUAGAGCUUGGGAUAACAGGAGCAACAGCCAAACCUCAGGCAGUGGAAAAAAGUGACUUUAUGAUGAAAGAGUGCAGACAACAGCUUAGCACUUUACCGACCUUCGCCAAGAUUUUUUGGGGCCCAUCUGCCCGUGCACGGCCCAUCUGUGACCUCUCCAUGGGCUUAGUGAGGUGUAGGCACAAAGCCCUAGGCUGGCAGCCCUAACUAGCUGGAACCUGACUCUCCCUGGAACUGCUUCCUUGCCAUGGAGGACUCACAUGAUCUCAGAGGGCCUCUGGUUUUAUAAGCGUUUUUUCUGGCCCCUUCUACCCCUCAGGGAUUCCAAGGGAAGCGGGGUGUGUGCUUGGGAGGGUUGACUGUAAACUGAAUAGAGCAAGAGUGGGACAGAGUAGUUCCAGGACUGGAAAAGUGGCAGCAGGGAAAAGAAGAGGCAGUGGCAGGGGCCCUGGCUUUAUACUGCUUCUUUAGGCCCAGGCCUGGGCUCCUGGCAGGUGGGGCCAGCCCAGCCCCAGUAACAGUGGCAGCUGAAGGACUUCCAAUCUCCAAGGCUGCCGUCUGGCCACAGGUGUAGAAAGGCUUCCAUCUGUCCUGGAUCUCGCCGGGCACAGCGCCCGUGG
rnacentral:lncRNA from 1 species